rnacentral:ncRNA from 1 species
AUUCAUCCGUCGGGGGGCCCUUGGGGGCUGAGAGGUGCACGCACCGACCCGUCGAACCUGAUCCGGGCAAUACCGGCGUAGGGAACGGGUAGAAUGUGCAA